UGGGAACCACUGCUCUAUGUUAAUGGGAGAGAGUUCUCCCGUCGGCAUAAAAAAACCACCUCUGCAACAUAACACUGUGCACAUGAAUGCUUAUGUCAGUGUAACUUCUGUCACUCAGGAGGUGGAAUGUUCAUACCCCUGAGUGACAUAAGUUCUGCCAACAUCGGUUGUAGUGUAGACAUAGCCUUAAAAACAUCUUGGAUCCUGUCCUACUGAAUAUGGCAUUCUGAAAUAUAUCUGAAAAGGUCACAGGUUCAUCUCUGUGGGAGGCUAUUAUACUAAGCAGGAAAACUACCUUGCUCAGUUAACUAGUUUUUAAAAAAAAACAGUUCCACAGCUCAAAGUGGAGUAGUUUCACUUAGCUUAUUUAAAUAAUUUUUAUUUUGGAGAGUUUCCUGCUUCUGGUAUAAAAACCUCAGGGAUUGCAUUCAGGUUACUGUUUUUGUUGGAGUCGUGAGGAAAUAUAGUAUAAGCCCCAAAGGUGUGAAGACUUAAGCAUAUGUGUAACUUUGCACAUGAGUAUUCCCAUGAGUCCUCAGCCCCAGACUACUCCACAGCUUUUAAAUUAGUGGGCCUGUUCUCACUGUUUAUAUCAGUGAAACUCUACCCAAGUGUUUCAGGUUGCACGUGUACAUGUGCCUAAGUCUUUGUGGAUUUAGUGCUACUGUGAUGAAAGUAUUAAAAAAAGCAAAAUGGAUCUGGUGUUAUCCCAGUAUUCCAGAAAGGAGAAAAAAAUGUGUACAAUUUAGUCUUUGAGUCUUGCUAGUGGUUUCCCGUUUGCUGAGAAAAAAUCUGUUUCAAAUAUGUAAUUGACUGUAAACAUCUUAGUAACAGUUUUAGAAAAUUACAUACCAUACAAAUAACAUUUAUUGGCUACAUUCAAGUGAAUCUAAUUAGCAAAAACAAGACAAUAGAAGGGUGAAGCGGAAAAGGAGGUGGAGAGAACAGGAAAGGAUACCAUAUGCAAUCCUCAUGACAUAGAUUGAUACCUUAUUGCUGUAAAGUGUCUUUACUAUACACUUCCAGGAAUGAAGACCAUAUUUUUUCAAAGGAAGCCAAGCUCUGACUUACCAAGAGGAAAACUCUCAAGACUUACUAGGUCACUGAACUUGUACCAGACGCUAAUAGGAAACUUCAGUUUUUCUGCUUUCCAUUUCUUUGCAGUAUGAUAUUUUUUUGUGAUUAGUGUGGUUCUGAGAAGUAGACAAGUCCCUCAGUUUUCUGUUAUAUCCAGGAAUAAAUAAUAAAGGAUCACAUGAUAAACUGAAGAUCAAAUUCAAAUUAAGCUAGAUAAAUAUUGCCAGAAACCUUUAUCUAAUGACCACAUGGCAUAUGUCUGUGACCUGGUCUACAACUACAAAGUUAGGUCGACGUAAGUCGCUUUACAUUAACCCUAUUUGUGCAUGUGUCUACAGACUACAUUCAAAGUUGUCUCCCGCCGACAUAAGUGCCCUGUUACAGCAACACAGUAAAACCACCUCCCCCUUUGCCAUUGAUCCCCGGUUGACCUCCUGAGUUUGAUGUAGUGCGAGUGUAGACAGUGUGUGACCUGUGUUGAUCCUAACAGUCUUCCAGCGGCUGUCCCACAAUGCUACGUUCCCUCUGCAGUAACCACUUUAGUCACAAGUCUGAAGUUGACUGCCAGUGUCACAGAGACUGGAAGCCAUCCCCACACCCUGUUUAAAAACACCCUUUGACGUGCCUUUUCCUGAUUGUCCAUUUUGGUGAGCACACCUAAUAGCUCUCCUUUGAGUGUGCAACUGCCCAACUGACCAUGCCAGGUCCACACUCUAGACUGACUCCUCCAUGGAAUAGACAGGAUGUAUUGUAUCUCCUGGGCCUGUGGGGAGAAGAGGCUAUGCAAACAUAGCUAUGGUCCAGCUGUAAGAAUGAGGACAUCUACGAGAAGAUUGCACAGGGGAUGCAGGGAAAGGAGUAUGAAGUGCCAUGUGAAAGUGAAGGAACUGCAACAGGCGUAUCACAACAAUUGAUCUUGUGCUGAGCUGCUGACCUGCCACUUUUACACCAAACUGCAUGCCAUAUUUAGCAGAGAACCCACCAACACCAAGCAGACUACCCCCUGAGAACUUUGGAUGAGUCUGAGACCCCCGCCCAUGAACAGUGAGGUAAAGGAGCGGAGAAGAUGCAGUGGAGGGAUCCAGUCAUGCUACGAGCCAGAACCUGGUAUUCUCCACCACCAUCUAGCCAGUCCUGCCAGCCAAACACAGAUGAGCCCAGUGAAGGGGAAAGAACCUUGGCUGCUGCUGCCAGUUUGGCCUUAAUGGGUGCCACUGCCACACAUUCAGAACAGCUUAACUUGAUGAGAAGGAGACAGAAGAGGACUAAGGAGGACAUAUUCAGCAAGAUCCUGCAAGCCGGUGCUGCAUCCAACCAUGAACAAAGGCCCUGGAGGGUCAACAUGUCAGACAGCAAGAAAAGGGUAGAGUGGACAGGAGACAGACCCAGGAAUCCCAGCAGGAAAAAGAGAGGGAAAUGCACCAGGAUAUAAUGGGGCUUCUGAGGCAGCAAACCUAAAUGCCACAUAGCCGAUGCUGGUUGACAUAUAGGUCCAGCAAUCCCGGACUCCCCACCCUUUGCAGUUGUCUGAGAAUUGCAUGGUACCAGCUCACCUACCUUCCCCCACAUUCCAUGUGGCCUCAUGGGCCAUCUCCUUACCCCUACUAUUCCUCGCCAAGGGACAGCAAGGAAAACCACAGCUUCACAUACGCUGACCUAUGAGAGAUUAUAGAGAUCUGAACCUUUUCCUACUUUUCCCAAUCUUUUCUGCCUAUGUGGCCAAUAAAAAUUACAUUUCACAUUAAUAACCUCUGUGACAGAGGCUCAUUGGUGACAGCUGGCAGAAGGGUUCACUUUUCUCUACUCAUCUCUGACCUGACAAACUCACUGUACCUAAUACAUCACUUUUAUGGUAUUUAUCAACGAAGGGUGAGAUCUGUACUGUAAGUUUGUAACUUACCAGUACUCCUCCUCAUUAUGUAUGGAUAAUAUUUAAGGAUUAAUGUAACUAUAUUGAAAAAUAUUCCCCUUAUGGUCUUGGAGUAAAAGUUAGUCCACAGGUAACCAUGUGUCUUGGUGAUGACCCAUUCAUGUGAGAGGGAGUUGUCACCCUGCCCUGGCUAGCCAAUUAUGUAAUGUGUUUGAUUGCCCACCCUUGCCCCAUUCAAGAACAGUCACUGGAAAACCACCAAAAACAACUGCAAAGAAUCAAAACCACUUGGAGGUAAAAAGGAACACUGUAACAGACAAGAGCUCACCCUGUCUGUGAAUAAAGACAAAAGACUUGAUUCAGUAUAUGACGGGGUGGAAAAAGACCCUCUGUAUCCAUUCACUGGGGAGACAAUUUGUUGAAAGGGGGUGUAUUCCAUGAAAGUUUAGCUCUGCAAGAGAAUGAACUUCGGGGGUGGGGAAAGGAAUCUACUUUAUUCAAUAAGAAAGGUAACUUAAUUGUAGGUCCUAGUUUGUGGUGUAUGAAUUUAGUUUAUUUUGUAACCACCUGUUUCCAUCACACUUUCUUGUUUUUAGUGGAACCUCUAUUCUUUUUUACUUAAAUCUUCUUUAUAUUAAGUGCUCACAAGAGCUGUGUCUUAUAGAGUGGUAAUUUAAGGUAAAAUUGGUAAACUGGGCUACAUUAGUCAUGUAGGAGCAGAGGAUCUGUGAUUUCUAUGAGAAGCCAGUGUCAGGGGCUGGAUAUCAGAGGGGAAUGCUUUAAGGGGGCUCAGGAACUGAGGUGCACCUCUUGCUAACCUGCAAGGUGAAGUGAGAGCUCGCAUAGCUUGGAGGAGAUAUGGAGCUAACCUGGAGCUGCCACAGGAAAGACUCAUCCCACUAUAACUGACUCUCAGUUCUGGGUACCCCAAGAAUCAUCACAACCACCCUUCUCCCCAUUUGUCCAUCUAGAAUAUUUGUGUUAUGCUUUAUCCCUCCUGGGAAGUGGCAUUAUGCCAAAGUUGAUUGAACAUGUAAGGCAUGUGUGUUUAAUAAAAAAGGCAAUCAAUUUUAAAGGAGUUAGAGCUAUCCAUAAAAGUAUCUAAUAUGGCUUCCAUAAUGUAGAGUCUGAAUGAAUAUGAGUUGUUGUACAGGAACAUUAUCUUCAAAUAUGAAUCACUUACAUUGUGAUAAGCGUUUAGAUAAAUUACGUAGCGUGAGUGUGGGUACAGUAUGAAGAUGUUUUUUUAAUUUUGAUGAAGUGCCACAGAUUUCUAUUGUAAGGUUAAUAAAAUUGCCAAGGACGUGAAAUAUUAGUUUUUCUAGCAGUAAAACCUAUAUUGCUUAAAGCAAUAAUAUCCAGUAUGUUGGUACAAAUGACUGAUAUUCUUAACAUUACAAUAGUAUGUAAAUGGACAUUUCCCAUUUGUGUUUUGAAAUCCCAAACUGUUCAAGCUGACAUUUCAAUAUCUGAAAUUAUAGUGCUAUAGCUUCUUGUUUUAACAUUGCAAAACAUUUGUGUUACUUUUGU